rnacentral:rRNA from 1 species
CUGACAUGAGUAACGACAAUGGGUGUGAAAAACACCCACGCCGAAAGACCAAGGGUUCCUGCGCAACGUUAAUCGACGCAGGGUUAGUCGGUUCCUAAGGCGAGGCUGAAAAGCGUAGUCGAUGGGAAACAGGUUAAUAUUCCUGUACUUCUGGUUACUGCGAUGGAGGGACGGAGAAGGCUAGGCCAGCUUGGCGUUGGUUGUCCAAGUUUAAGGUGGUAGGCUGAAAUCUUAGGUAAAUCCGGGGUUUCAAGGUCGAGAGCUGAUGACGAGUCGUCUUUUAGAUGACGAAGUGGUUGAUGCCAUGCUUCCAAGAAAAGCUUCUAAGCUUCAGGUAACCAGGAACCGUACCCCAAACCGACACAGGUGGUCGGGUAGAGAAUACCAAGGCGCUUGAGAGAACUCGGGUGAAGGAACUAGGCAAAAUGGCACCGUAACUUCGGGAGAAGGUGCGCCGGCUAGGGUGAAGGAUUUACUCCGUAAGCUCUGGCUGGUCGAAGAUACCAGGCCGCUGCGACUGUUUAUUAAAAACACAGCACUCUGCAAACACGAAAGUGGACGUAUAGGGUGUGACGCCUCCCCGGUGCCGGAAGGUUAAUUGAUGGGGUUAGCGCAAGCGAAGCUCUUGAUCGAAGCCCCGGUAAACGGCGGCCGUAACAAUAACGGUCCUAAGGUAGCGAAAUUCCUUGUCGGGUAAGUUCCGACCUGCACGAAUGGCGUAACGAUGGCGGCGCUGUCUCCACCCGAGACUCAGUGAAAUUGAAAUCGCUGUGAAGAUGCAGUGUAUCCGCGGCUAGACGGAAAGACCCCGUGAACCUUUACUGUAGCUUUGCACUGGACUUUGAGCCUGCUUGUGUAGGAUAGGUGGGAGGCUUUGAAGCGUGGACGCCAGUUCGCGUGGAGCCAUCCUUGAAAUACCACCCUGGCAUGCUUGAGGUUCUAACUCUGGUCCGUAAUCCGGAUCGAGGACAGUGUAUGGUGGGCAGUUUGACUGGGGCGGUCUCCUCCUAAAGAGUAACGGAGGAGUACGAAGGUGCGCUCAGACCGGUCGGAAAUCGGUCGCAGAGUAUAAAGGCAAAAGCGCGCUUGACUGCGAGACAGACACGUCGAGCAGGUACGAAAGUAGGUCUUAGUGAUCCGGUGGUUCUGUAUGGAAGGGCCAUCGCUCAACGGAUAAAAGGUACUCCGGGGAUAACAGGCUGAUACCGCCCAAGAGUUCAUAUCGACGGCGGUGUUUGGCACCUCGAUGUCGGCUCAUCACAUCCUGGGGCUGAAGCCGGUCCCAAGGGUAUGGCUGUUCGCCAUUUAAAGUGGUACGCGAGCUGGGUUUAGAACGUCGUGAGACAGUUCGGUCCCUAUCUGCCGUGGACGUUUGAGAUUUGAGAGGGGCUGCUCCUAGUACGAGAGGACCGGAGUGGACGAACCUCUGGUGUUCCGGUUGUCACGCCAGUGGCAUUGCCGGGUAGCUAUGCUCGGAAAAGAUAACCGCUGAAAGCAUCUAAGCGGGAAACUUGCCUCAAGAUGGGAUCUCACUGGGAACUUGAUUCCCCUGAAGGGCCGUCGAAGACUACGACGUUGAUAGGCUGGGUGUGUAAGCGUUGUGAGGCGUUGAGCUAACCAGAACUAAUUGCCCGUGAGGCUUGAUC